CCUAGGGUUCUAGACAAAAUCUUCUAACUCAUGUCUUUGAUGCUAAAAGUAUUCCCAGUCUUUCCUUGAAGUUUAGCCUUAGAAGUUGGAUUUUAUACUCUUGUAAUUAUGUUCUCUGAUUUUGUAUUUGCCUUAGUUUAAUUAGGAAAACAAACUAGCAUUUAUGAUGCAUCCAUCAUACACCAGUUAUUAUGCUAGGUAUUGAUACUUCGUGUAUUUUAUCUCCUUCAUUCUUAUAGUAAUUCUCUAUUUGUGAUUGUUGUUCUCAUCCCAUUUUAUAGAUGAAAUAACGGACUCAGAAGUUAAAUAAUUUGGCUAAGAUUAUUCAGCCAGAAAUGGUAUAUAUAAAGCAUUUAGUGGUUAUACCAACAUUCAUUUCCCACUUUCAGCCUGACUAAACUUUGUGCAGAUUAGUAGUGAAGACUAUGCUAAAGGAAAUGGGGAUAAGGAAUUUUUCCCUUGGGUGUAUAUUAAAUUAUAGGAAAAAUUUGGUUGUAUACAAAGACCUAGGAUCCUCUUCCUAUAGCUUUAUUUCCUUUGUCCCAUCCCCAUUUCUGACCUGUUUUAUAAACAAUUCAAACAAAAUUACAGUCUUAUCUCUGCUCCAUCCUAUUCUUCUUUAUUUGUCAGACCAUUACAUUAAGUGAUGAGACAGAGAUAAUUUUAAAUUUUUGUUUAAAAUCCAAAGUCCAUGUGGUAGAUUGAGAAAGAAUGGCUGCCCAUCAAUCAAAGAGAAUGAGAUCAAGAAGAAAGCAAGUGACAGGUCUUCAUCUGUCACUUGGACUAAAUGGUUUGUAGAAAGGUCUCUAUUUGUAGUCAGAAGCAAAAAUGGUUAUAAUGCAGUUUCAACCCGGAAGUGUAUUUAAAUCCAUCCGUGUGUUCUGAUUUGGCAUCAAAAAAAUAAAAUGUAGGCAAACAGAGUCCAUAUGUGCUCGUGACCUUGUGAGAAGAAAACCAAAAGAGAACAUAUACAGGGAAACCUAGAAUGGCUUUAGGAAUUUGGAGAAAUUUCCCCUGCCUGUUCUUUAUCUAUGUAUUUUAUCCCAGCUCAGGCUCUUUCCUGAGUUACCCAUCAGAUCAGUUUACCAGAUCUUUAUGAGGUUAGUUAAAUAAUCUGAAUUAGAAGAUACUCUUUAAUGACUAUUAUCCUAAAUCCUGAACUCCUUAUAAACUGAGUGAAUAUUUUUUGAUUCAGUGCCUUAUUCCAUUCCCUUCAUUCCUAUUAUCACCCUCAGAGUCUAUGUAAUAGCUGUCUUCAGGAUGCUACCAGUCAGGCAUCCCUGCUGCACAGCUCCAGGGAGCGCAGUAUUGUCUCUGGGCCCCUGGAAAGGUUCAAGGCUGUGGGUGGCCUUGUGUCCUGUGUGCUGUCAGUCUCACAUGGCUGACUCCUUAAGCUCAUUGUUCAUAAUAAUGGAAAUGUGGAUAAAAAUUAGGCCUUUAUCCUUCCUAGCCAACAGUGCUUUUCCAUUGGAAUUUUAUGUGAAUUUCCUGCACUCAUGACCUUGUAAAAAGGAAACCAAAAGAGAGCAUACAUAAUAAAGCAUUUGUUCUAUGCCCAUUUCUAACUUCCAUUUCAUAAAUAGUUCAAACAAAACUGUACACUUUCACAUCUGCUCUGCCUUUUCUGUUCCUUGUACUGUCCUUCAGCUGUAUUUCCUCUGGCAACUUCUCCUGUAUUGUAGUUUUAGUCCCUUUCCUAGGUGCUUAAAGUGCACAGGAGGAAAAGGUGAUGAU